GUAUUCUUUGUGACUAAGACGAAUGACAAACUGAAUCCUCAUUCAAAUACACAUUCAGAACAGACGACACUUACAUUGUGCACUGGGGGAUUUAGAGAACAUGAGUACAUAACAGUUGGAAAGGAUUCAAAAUGACGUCGUUAAGAGUAUUAGUUUUGAUAUUUUUAGUUGAUAUAUCUGUUUGUGAAUUUGAAAUAUAUAAAGAACUAUGUCAGCAAAUAGAUGACAGAGUGGACAAUUGUAUGAGAUCAUUUGAACAACCUUAUAUUAGCAAUAGAGAAGAUGUUUCAAAAAUCACUAGAAAAAUUAACGGUAGAUCUUUCAUGGAUCCAGCAACAUAUUCUGCAAUAAUACCUGAAGUCUGUAGUCGAUUGGAAAACUACGAAGUUUUACUAAGAUGUUCGUAUACAGCUUUAGAGUCCUGUCUGUCAGUCGAAUAUAGGUAUAUGCUUCCUACACAAGAGAGAUUUAUUCAAGGAUUUAGAUAUUUCUGUCGUAGAUAUUAUAUGAAAGAACUGACUAUUCAGUGUCACGAAAACAACACUCGACAAGUGAAACCACAAGAACAAAGAAUUUUAGAUUUUGAAACAAAUAUGACUCAGUGUAUUCGUAGAAAUACUGUCUUUCAACCAGUACAAGUCCAAUCACAGUCACAAACAAACAUCGUACAGAGAAAUAUUGAUACACAAUGCAGGAAUUACAAUGUUGGAUAUAGAUGUGUGGAGAAUAUAUUUUAUUACCGAUGCCACAGAACCAGAAAUAUUUACUUAGAAUUUUACCACUAUCUAAGACCAUAUGCGUGUUCAGCAUCGCAACUGACCAGUCCAUUCUGGCUUCUUUCUCUAUUAUAUUUUACCACAAAAGUAAUUUUAUCAAAUGUUAGCACAUAACAGCUAUUGAGUAUUCGGUACGUUAGCUUUUUUACUUGAAUAUGGGGCUUGGAUUUUAUAUUAAACAAGUACCGCCGUACCGUGAACCAGGAAUCGAGCAUGACGUCAUCACCGCCAUCUUUGAAUUGCUACCUCAUCAAAAAUCAGCAUGCCAUAAACUUUAUUUGGAAGAUCGUCGGCCCCAAGAAGAGGAACAAGAACAAGAUGAGUAGCACAUGAGGUUCCGUUCCUAGUCGCCCAGUUUCUGGUCUGCAAAAAAAAACAAACAAAAAAACAGUUAAACAAAAGAAAUAUUAUCUCAGAAUUUUUUCGAUCAACUAUUGAUUAGUGUUUUAAGUGGACAGUAUAUAAAAUCCCUUAAAGAUUUAAGAGAAGGUCAGCAACAAUACCACUUAUAACCCAUGUCAGAUAACCUGAUCAAUGUCACUCCAUUAUGACAAACGAUUAUGCCCAUGGCAUUUCUUCUUUCUUUGACGGGUUGCUAAUCCCUAAUACAGACCUCAAAAUGAUAUGUAGGACUGGUUUGACCUUGACCUUGAGAAAAUGAUUGACUGUAAUUAUGAAAAAUAGUUAAAGGCCGUUAUUUUUUGUCAAUGUAAAUACUGUUUAGCACUACGAGUGAUUUUAAUUGUAACCUUGUUCAAGAUUUCUAUUGUUGCCAUGAAUUUUGUUUGAUCUCCUUAAACGAUUAUUUUUUUUUCUUUUUUCGUUGAGUAUAUGGUUGUUAUAUUUUAAAUUAGCAUUGUUCUACCAGAUCAAAUAAAGAGUUUUGUUGCCACAAUUUCGUUUCAGUUGUUUCCAUAAUUCCAUAUUUUCUCCAACAUAUUCAGUUUUUUUUAGGCCACACCUACUAAAUUAUGCGUCGUUUUCUUAGGAGUUAAAUUGGUUAUUUUUUAUAAAAGCUCUUAUUACCAAAUUAUUCGGUUCUGAAAUUCUACAAGAUAACAUAAUUCAUGUGGAAUAUAUCAUACCGAAUAGCUAAAAAUCUAAUUGGUAUGGCCUUUGUUAUCCUAUUAGUUCUGUUAAAAUUAAUAAAAUUCCACGGUUUAACCUUAUUUUUGUAGACAUAGAUUUAACCAUAUAGAAAAUGUAUACAGUACUGGCCAGUAGUUGACUAAUAGCUCUCUUUAAAUUAUUUCAUCCCAAAUAAUAUAAUCUUUAUUUUGCACCAAAAGUUAUUUGAAUCAAAGUAAUAAAGAAAUAUAGUGACGAAUUAGCUUACCAAAGAUUUCCAUUUAGUUUGAAUAGCCUGUGUUUAGCGUACAUUAAUUAACAAAUUAUCGGAGAUUCCGAAUAAUGUAAUGAUGAUUUAAUAUUAUCGGAAUACUCAGUCGUAGGUCUAAAAUAUAACGGAAGUCGUUUGUAUAUUCAUACUAUUAAAGGGACAAUAACACUCUUGCUGGCUUGACAGCUCCAGAAAAUAAAUAAUAGACUUAUUCUAAGUAUUAGAUGUUUAAGUAUCCUACCUGUUGUGUAAAUAAUCCAUUAAAUCAUAUUUUACUUGUCCAGAGGGUUCGAAAAUGUUUUUAAAUCUAAGUCACAUUUAAAAAGCUUUACGUUAGGCUUUUCAAAUCAUUUAGUUGAAUUUUUCCAAUUUUUUAAAUUAGGUGUGUUAAGAUGAAAUUUGUAUCCUCAAUUAACUGGAAUAUUGUAAAAUAGUACAAUUUGUUGACCAGAAUAAAGAUUGGGACAUAUUAUUCAGUUACAACAAGGGUGGUAUUGAGCCUUUAAGGAUAAUCCCGAAGUGCAGGUUUUACUGUACAUGUAAAUACCGUAAUUGAAGUAAAGUUGUAAUUUUGGCUUAUAUACCAUGAUUAAAAUUAAGCUAUAAUUUUAGCUGAUGAUUAAAAUUAAGCUGUUAUUUUAGCUUAUUUACUAUGAUUAACAUUUAGCUUUAAUUCUAGCUUAUAUACCAUGAUUAAAAUUAAGCUAUAAUUUUAGCUGAUGGUUAAAAUUAAGCUGAUAUUUUAGCUUAUUUACCAUGAUUUAAAAAAAGCUUUAAUUCUAGCUUAAAUACCAUGAUUAAAAUUAAGCUAUAAUUUUAGAUGACAGUUAAAAUUAAGCUAUAAUUUUAGCUAAUAUACCAUGAUUAUCAUUAUAUGUUGUAAUUUUAGCUUAUAUACUAUUGGGGUAUUAUGUAUUAUCAAAUUAUGCAUUUUAUCUGUCUUUCAAGGUGCAUGUACUCAUGGAUGUAAUUCGCUUGUGACCAAAGUCCAUGGUCCACAUCACGAGUUAUGUGUGGGUCUAAAUAGUUGCGUUGAAUAUGAUGCUUAUUUAAGUUAUAUGUCAUAACUUCAUAUGUCCGUUUGAUUGACGUACGACGCAAAUCAAUGACCACUGCUCAGACUGCACUGGAAGGUCGUAUGUUGGGUGAUGAAAAACAAACGCCCAGCUUGCGGCGAUGCGUGCUCAUUUUGAAUCAAGAUAGGAAUAAGACAGACCGUCGUUAUUUUAAAAUGACUAGAUGUACAUGUAGACUAUAUUAUUUUAUAUUUUAGCAAAAGGGACACAACCUGGUCCUGGCAUUGUUUGAAGUAGUAAUACAUUUGUUAGUUUUAUUGGUGGAAAAUCGCCUUGUAACAAGGCCUUACCAGUAAAUAACGCUGUAUUGAACUUUUACCCUGUCUUUUUAAAACAUUGACAAUGGUUGUCACCGGCAAACCUCGAAAAACUCCGGAACCCUACAUCUAACCUCGGUUGUAUGCCGAAUUCCGCCAUUGGAAGUCGGAACUACUUUCAGGUCCCCAGAUUAAAAAUGGCUUCGCCCAUGAAGAUGAAUGUUUUAUCUGAAGAAACUGUAUAUUAUUUGUUAUGUACUAUCUUGAUCCGAUUUUCUUUAAACAAAAGACAACUUUGCAAUGAAAACUCUACACUACGCAAGUUUUUCCUAAUAAGUAAACCGGUAGCCGCAUCACAAUUAUAUGGGUGUAGCCGACGCUAGAUGUAAUGCUACCGGAGUCUGCCGAGGCUUGCCGAGUGAUUGGUUGUGCCCCCCAUUAGGUAUUAUUAUUUUAGUGUUAUAUUAUUAUGUUACAAAUAAUAUACUCAAUUAAUCAGCAUACAUAAAUUCGUAUUCAUUGAUUAGAUAUUAUGAAUCUCACGUGAUACUAUUGAGUUUUUGUUUGGAAUUAUUGUACAAUUGUAAAUUAGUCAUCUUCUCUUACAUAGUUAUUCAAUUGUUUAUUAUAUCAAUAAACAUGUUUUUUUUAUAUAUACAUGUAUAAAAUAAUUUGCUACUUUGAUAAUUCAUUAAUAAAAACUUGGAAAGUACGACACGUUAA